AAGGGAGUUUGUCAGUCGGUCAUAAGGUAGGCUCAGCAAAACGAGGCAGCGGCUAGCAUUAUUAUCAAGAGGUGUGCUAACCAUUAGGCCUCGUAUGCCAGGUCUACCUCCAGAUUGUGAGGUGCUACUUUGGACUUGACAAACUCUUAUAGUAGGCAACAGAAACUCUUUACUGCAGAAAAACCGUAGUAGGUUUGAUGCUCAACAGAUUGCUCUGGAGUUAGUUAUAAGUUAAUAAUAAGUAUCCAUUGAUAUGUGUGACAAAACAUACCAACUGGUGUCAACAUCAGCUAGGCUAUGUUGGCAUUUUCUGAUGGUUCUUCAUGACUGAUCAUAAGUUUCUUAUGGAUCCCCAGUUGCUGCCUCCUUCUGAAGCACAGGUUAUUAGAGAGGCUGAAAACCAGACUGGAACAGGCUCUUCAAAGGCAGCCUCUGGACCUGGACUAUUUAGAGUUCCUCUGUACCAGUGAGUUGAGCCUACUUCACUGAGUACUCACAUGCCAUUUCCAGAAGAGGUCAUAGGCAGACGGGAAAAGCAGGCCUUAAGAGGGAUACAGGAUACUGGGGUGCUCCCAAUGAUAACAGAACGGCCAGAACUGGCUAGAGUUCUGUUCCCACAAGGUGUCUCAUCUCUGAUGGAUCCUAAGAUGAUUUUGAAAAGAGUGGUUUGACCAGAUGAGGCGGAGGUUGACGAAGAUGAAAUGGAAGACUGCCGUGUCACAGCCUACCUCAGACAAUACGUUUUUCUUUAGAGACAUUGAAAGACCUGGUGGUCUUCUGGACGGGAUGGUCUGUUGGCAGGGGCAAUGCCGACUGUACUUUGAAACUCCCCCUAGGGACAAGAAUGUAUGACACCUUCAAAGAAGCUAUGAAUGCAGCGCUGAAAUAAAGCAAUUAUGGUUUUGGCUUGAUCUAGUGUUGUUUUCUGCAAGUUCAAUGCAGUAUAGUCAACAAUUUCAGUGUUUCAGACGGUGACCAGAGUUCCAGUUGUUCAAUGAAUAAACUAUGCAAUGAGAAACUG